UUCAGAGUCCAGGUCAUAAAGGGCACUGUAGCCUCACCUUGUACAUCUUAGCUCUCUCACUGUAGCCAAAGCCAGCCGCCGUGUCAGCAGAAUACUCCAGCAGCCCUGUGGAGAACUGAGGCCUCCCUCCAACAGCCAGCACCAACAUGGCAGCCAUGACUGUUUCCUGAGUACCCUUCAGCUGAAGAGGAACUCCUCUUAGAAACUCAGCCUCGACCAUCCUAGUUCAUCUUGAGGCUGUAUGAACGCCCUUGACUUCCAGAAAAGAAAAGCACAGAGGGAGCUUGGGGAAGAUCUUCUGUAUUUGUGGUGGCUCUUAUCCAAGAAGGCCCCUCGCACACUGAACACAGCUGACCUGCGUAAUCCCUGGGAUGAUGUGGAAAUGACAGCAUGACUUCGGACACUAGAUUAAGUAAGACCUUGUGGCUUCUGCCUUGUUCUUUCUUGGGUCACUCUCCCUGGAAGAAACCAGCCACCGGGUUGUGAGGUGGUACCCUGUGGGGAGGCCCGCAUGCCACCAGCAGCCAACACUUGGCUUGCCAGCCAUGCAGGCGACCAGAUCUUCCAGUCCCAGUCAAGCCUUCAGAUGACGACAGCACCAAAAACCAUCUUGACUGAACCUUGUUAGUGAGCACCUGGCUAAGCCGUGCUCCCAUUCCUGACCCACAGAAAUUGUGUGAGAUGAUAAACGUUUACUGUUUUAUGCUGCCAAGACUCUGGGGGAAUUUGUUAUGCAGCCAUGGGUGACUGUUAUAGUAUCUGAAUCCACACGUGCCGGAGCAGAGUGGGGCACUCCAGCACAAAGAGAGGUACUAUGGUGAUGUCAUAACUAAUCACGGAUUGUCACAGAGCUCUGUAAAUAGAGGAUAAUUUGACCCCAAACAAGGUGGGAUGUUAGUAAGGAAACGGAGUGGGAGUUUCUUUGACAUGGUUCUGACUCACCCAGGGAUUCCUCACUCCGGUUUCCUUUUCUUGCCAUCUCUGCUUGUGUAAGCACAUCUCGGACUGUAUUUACAAAUCAAAAUCAGAAAGCCUCAGAUCUCUCUCACCCUGAGAACUUAUCAUCUAAAAUCACAACCAGGAGGCCUAAAUAAAGAGAAACGAAGGAACAAAAGGAAGAAAAAGGAACGUUUUGGUCUCCCACUGCCCUUUCUCUUUCUAUUAAAAUACUUGUCCAUCACGGU